GUAUUGCAAGAUCGAUACGGUGAUGUUGACGAUGAGCGUAUGAAGAGAGAGACAGACAGACUGGUUUUCUCCACUGCGGAGGAGCAGAACUCGAAUUAUGAAGAAAGAACGGAUCCGAGUUUUAAAACAGAAGUUGGCUGAACGGGAAGCGGCUGCAGCUGAUGGCGUAACCCAAGGUACGAUUGUAGCCAUUGGUGACUGCCACCUCAGACUAUGGCACCUCCACUAACUACACACGCUCAUCCCGCGCCUCUGUAUCCGAUCUAGACUUCUCUGAGAGCUAUCUGUAACUGGUUCAAGCAGCUUACAGUUUGUGAAAUUGUCACACCUUAAAAGGAUAUUAAAAAUAAAUCCUCCAAUACUAUCGUUCCCAUUACAAAAGUCUUAAGAACAUCACACUUUGGUGUUACACAAAACUAUUUCAAAGUUAGUAUAAAUAGAGUAAAUAUUAUAUAAAAAUGCAAAAAUCUUCGACGAGCCUUAUCCCCUUAUUCAUAAAAAGUAAAUUAUUAUAAUUGCACUAUUUUAAGUCUUUCGUCACUAUCUAUCAAAUAGUGUUUACACUAUCAUGAAAGAAACAAAUGAUUACUUCAUUACCCUAAUACGAUGUAUAGUCUGUCAUUUCCUGUUAAUAUGUUUUGUAUUUCCAUUAGAGGGAAAUGGAAUUAAUGAUGUAUAUCGUCUAACUAAAGCUCACCGUGAAAAAAGUCUUCCUACCUACGUCACUCUCACUUUUUUACUCGACACCUUAUAUUAAGUACAGAUUGUAGCAGGUAGGACAUAGUUUCGAUAUAAGUGUAGUCUAAUAUAACUUGUUACUUGACAUCGAUAUAAGGCCCUAUUCUCAUUUUUCUACUGCAUGACAAAUAUAUACUUUAAUUUCCUAUUCUAAAUAAUAUUUAAACGGAGAUUAGUAUAUGCUUCAAAUUUAAUUCAAUUUAGCACAUUCCAAACGCUCGUCAUUUGUUUUACUUAAUUCACAACCUUCGUGUUCUAUCUUGGUGUUACUAUUUUCUAUGUAUAAAACUUGAGUCUAAGGUAUACUUUUCCCGAUAAUAACAUCCCAUAUACAUUUAACAAAACAAGUUACUUUUUACAUAUUUUUUCUUAUAAAACGCUAAAAACAACUCUGCAAUAAAUAUCUUAUAUCUGUGUUCAUAAAUUUAAAAAAAGAAACAUGUCUGUUCCUUUAAUUAAUAAUCCUUCACUUAGAAUCUCGUCACAAAUUUCUCUUUUUACUCAAUUAGAUGCAUGUCUCAUUUAUAUACGACAAAAUUAGUACGACCUACUUAAUUAUAAAAUAACGAAGAAAACACUUCACAACGACUACACAAUAUAAUGUAUUUACAGUGAUAAUGUUAAGCUAAGCACUUUAUAACACUUUACUUGGCACACAUUUAAUAUUUAGAGGUUAAAUUCAUUGUAUAACAAUUUAUGUAAAAUGUUAUGUAUUUGUAGAUGUAUAAAUAGGUUAAAAAGUUUUCUUUGUAUUCGUUCACUUUUAUUUUUAAUUCGUGCAGUCAAAUCUCGUUAUAGCAAUAAAUUAAAAUGUAUAUAUUCUUAAUUUAAUUAAAUACAAAUUGGUAAAUAAUUGGUUAUAUUUUUUUCAAAAUUGAUUCAAAUAAUGAGGAGAAAAAGAUCAUUAAGCGGCAAAAUCUGAAUCGAUCAUGUUCAAGACGAACACAUCUGAACUCCAACUUCAAUAGUUUCGACGUUUUCAAAUUGUAUAAAAUGUCUUUAAAAGUAUAACUAAUCAUAAGGAACAAAGUGUUCUUAUACUAAUAGACGACUGGGCUUAAGAUAAUCCAAAAUAAUAAUAGGAUAAUUACAACUGAAAAUGUGCAUAAUAUUCGUAACAGACGUAUGCACUAGAGGAUAAAUGACAUCGCAAAUACGGGCAAGUUAACAGCGAUUAUGAUAGAUAUGAUCGAUGAUAACAGCAUGGAUAAAGAAACCAAUUUGGGUAAGCAUUUAAAAUAAUUAAUUAGAUAAUCAACUACCGGUUCUUGCCAUAUCUAUAAAACAACAGUGCGUCAGAGAUACGUACAAAUAUCCAACCUU